rnacentral:rRNA from 1 species
GUGGGGAAUAUUGGACAAUGGGCGAAAGCCUGAUCCAGCCAUGCCGCGUGUGUGAAGAAGGUCUUCGGAUUGUAAAGCACUUUAAGUUGGGAGGAAGGGCAGUAAGUUAAUACCUUGCUGUUUUGACGUUACCGACAGAAUAAGCACCGGCUAACUUCGUGCCAGCAGCCGCGGUAAUACGACGGGUGCAAGCGUUAAUCGGAAUUACUGGGCGUAAAGCGCGCGUAGGUGGUUUUGUAAGUUGGAGGUGAAAUCCCCGGGCUCAACCUGGGAACUGCAUCCAAAAAUGCAUGACUAGAGUACGGUAGAGGGUAGUGGAAUUUCCUGUGUAGCGGUGAAAUGCGUAGAUAUAGGGAGGAACACCAGUGGCGAAGGCGACUACCUGGACUGAUACUGACACUGAGGUGCGAAAGAGUGGGGAGCAAACAGGAUUAGAAACCCCGGUAGUCC